rnacentral:rRNA from 1 species
CCUACGGGUGGCAGCAGUAAGGAAUAUUGGUCAAUGGACGAAAGUCUGAACCAGCCAUCCCGCGUGCAGGAUGAAAGCCCUAUGGGUUGUAAACUGCUUUUAGCAGAGAAGAAAAGCUUUCAUUCAUGAGAGUCUGACGGUAUCUGCAGAAUAAGCACCGGCUAACUCCGUGCCAGCAGCCGCGGUAAUACGGAGGGUGCGAGCGUUAUCCGGAUUAACGGGGGUGUAGGCGGGGGAUUAAGGCAUUUUUGAAAUCUUGUCGCUUAACGAUAAAAUUGCCAAAGAUACUGGUACUCUUGAAUUGGGUUGAGGUUAGCGGAAUGUGACAUGUAGCGGUGAAAUGCAUAGAUAUGUCAUGGAACACCAAUUGCGAAGGCAGCUAACUGGGCCUUGAUUGACGCUGAGGCACGAAAGCGUGGGUAGCGAACAGGAUUAGAUACCCUGGUAGUC